GACAGAGGUGCCGAGCGUUAGGCGGAAUCACUGGGCUUAAAGCGUGUGUAGGCGGGCCCGUAAGUGUCUUGUGAAAUCCCACGGCUCAACCGUGGAACUGCUGGGCAUACUGCGGGUCUUGAGCGGCCUAGGGGCAGACGGAACAAGUGGUGGAGCGGUGAAAUGCGUAGAUAUCACUUGGAACGCCGACGGUGAAAACAGUCUGCUGGGGGCCUGCUGACGCUGAGACACGAAAGCCAGGGGAGCGAACGGG
rnacentral:rRNA from 1 species